rnacentral:ribozyme from 1 species
CGGCCGAGCAGGAGUUCGAGGUGAUCGGGAAGCCACUCGCCCCCAGAAGUCAGGACGAUGAGGCGGCCGACGUAGCAGCUGCCGCAUCGCCCAAGGCCGAGUCGUCCUUGGUUGAGGAAUGGGACAAGCACAUGGAGGGCU